GCCGUAGUAGUAUAAUGGUUAGUACAUCAGUUUGUGGCUAGGAAACACUGAAAAUCGAGGUUCGAUUCCUCGCUACGGCA